ACGGGAGGCAGCAGUGGGGAAUAUUGGACAAUGGGCGAAAGCCUGAUCCAGCAAUGCCGCGUGAGUGAUGAAGGCCUUAGGGUUGUAAAGCU
rnacentral:rRNA from 1 species